UACGUAGGGGGCUAGCGUUGUCCGGAAUCAUUGGGCGUAAAGAGCGUGUAGGCGGCCCGGUAAGUCCGCUGUAAAAGUCAAAGGCUUAACCUUUGAAUGUCAGUGGAUACUGCCGGGCUAGAGUCCGGAAGAGGCGAGUGGAACUCCUGGUGUAGCGGUGGAAUGCGCAGAUAUCAGGAAGAACACCAGCGGCGAAGGCAGCUCGCUAGGACGGUACUGACGCUGAGACGCGAAAGCGUGGGGAGCGAACAGG
rnacentral:rRNA from 1 species